rnacentral:lncRNA from 1 species
CUAGUUCUUAUUAUUUAUUUGAUUAAAAAGUUAAAAUGGAAAAACUUAUAAGUAAAUAAAAGGGUUAUUUUAUUUGAACCUCAUAAUUUGCUCUUUUGACCUCAUAUUAAUUUUAAACAUGAAUAACCUAUUUUACCCUUGUAUGUAAUUACUGUUAAGGGCAAAAAUAUUAAAAUAAAAAUUAAAUUUGCUCACUACACCCCCACAUACGUUCCUCCAACCAUAGUUAGACUUUUUUCACAAACCAUCAUGUUCCUACAACCCUAACAGGGUUUAUGCUUAUAUUGGUGAAAACAUACCUAAUAUGAAGGGUGAGACUAAAGUUAAAGAGGCUUCGAAUAAGGUAUAAGUUUAUUUUUUGGUGUUUUUCAAGUUUAGGGUUGCAUGGUGGUCGCUGGUUACAUGCAGCACACCAAUAUUGAACGUGAUAGGAAAAUUUGGUGGCAUGCCACUGAAACAUUGAACCUAUUUCGAUUGUGUUUGAUUGGCCAUUAACUUAAGAUGUGGUGAAUUUUACCUAUUAUUCAGUGACGAUGAACCGAAAUAUAUUUAUUUUUUCAAUAAUUUAUUGUCGACCACAAAUUUAAUGCAAGUUAUUUUGACCUUACUCCUACUGAAGGAACAAAAACAAGGCGACGCUACUACUACUGAAGGCAACAAUGUUGGAACAUAAUGUGUAAUAGACUAUAGUGAUUAAUUCACAACUAACAAGGUAAUCAUUUUGAGUUUUUUUUUUUUUUUUGGGUCUAAAAUUCGUUUUAGUAUCA